rnacentral:misc_RNA from 1 species
UUUCCGUAGGUGAACCUGCGGAAGGAUCAUUAAUGUGUUUGGGCCUCACGGCUCUUCAUUCCGACGCUGUGCGCCUUCGGGCUGCACGCUGAGGGAGCAUAUAUCCACCCCUGUGCACACACACGGUGGCGAGCUGGGUAACGGCUCGCCGCUGAUCUUUACACACGUCUAAAAGUCAUUGUAUGUUUAUUUGAGAUAAGAACACAACUUUCAGCAACGGAUCUCUUGGCUCUC